rnacentral:rRNA from 1 species
UACGAAGGGGGCUAGCGUUGCUCGGAAUCACUGGGCGUAAAGCGCACGUAGGCGGAUUGCUAAGUCAGGGGUGAAAUCCUGGAGCUCAACUCCAGAACUGCCUUUGAUACUGGCGGCCUUGAGUCCGGGAGAGGUGAGUGGAACUGCGAGUGUAGAGGUGAAAUUCGUAGAUAUUCGCAAGAACACCAGUGGCGAAGGCGGCGCACUGGACCACAACUGACGCUGAGGCGCGAAAGCUAGGGGAGCAAACAGG